GACGAACGCUGGCGGCGUGCUUAACACAUGCAAGUCGAACGGAAAGGCCCUGCUUUUGUGGGGUGCUCGAGUGGCGAACGGGUGAGUAACACGUGAGUAACCUGCCCUUGACUUUGGGAUAACUUCAGGAAACUGGGGCUAAUACCGGAUAGGAGCUCCUGCUGCAUGGUGGGGGUUGGAAAGUUUCGGCGGUUGGGGAUGGACUCGCGGCUUAUCAGCUUGUUGGUGGGGUAGUGGCUUACCAAGGCUUUGACGGGUAGCCGGCCUGAGAGGGUGACCGGCCACAUUGGGACUGAGAUACGGCCCAGACUCAUACGGGAGGCAACAGUGGGGAAUAUUGCACAAUGGGCGGAAGCCGGAUGCAGCAACGCCGCGUGCGGGAUGACGGCCUUCGGGUUGUAAACCGCUUUCGCCUGUGACGAAGCGUGAGUGACGGUAUGGGUAAAGAAGCACCGGCUAACUACGUG
rnacentral:rRNA from 1 species